GACGAACGCUGGCGGCAUGCCUAAUACAUGCAAGUCGAACGAUGAUAUUCUCUGCUUGCAGCUAUUUUAAUAGUAGCGAACGGGUGAGUAACACGUGGAGAACCUGCCCAUAAGAGUGGGAUAACAUUCGGAAACGGGUGCUAAUACCGCAUAAUGCUUUGAACCGCCUGGUCCAAAAACGAAAGACGGCUUUUCCUUUCACUCAUGGUUGACCCCCCCCCGUAUUGGCUAGUUGGUAAGGUAAUGGCUCACCAAAGCGGUGAUACGUAGCCGCCCUGAGAGGGUGACCGGCCACACGGGGAGUGAGAACCGGCCCAGCUCCCUACGGGAGGCAGCAGGAGGGAAUCUUCGACAAUGGGGGAAAGCCUGCGGGAGAAAUGCGGCGUGAAUGAAGAAGGUCUGCGGAUCGUAAAGUCCUGUUAUUAGAGAAGAACAAGUCAAGGAGUAACUGUCUUGACUUGGACGGUACCUAACAAGAAAGUAACGGCUAACUACGG
rnacentral:rRNA from 1 species